CCUACGGGGGGCAGCAGUGAGGAAUAUUGGUCAAUGGGCGCGAGCCUGAACCAGCCAAGUAGCGUGAAGGAUGACUGCCCUACGGGUUGUAAACUUCUUUUAUAAAGGAAUAAAGUGAGGCACGUGUGCCUUUUUGUAUGUACUUUAUGAAUAAGGAUCGGCUAACUCCGUGCCAGCAGCCGCGGUAAUACGGAGGAUCCGAGCGUUAUCCGGAUUUAUUGGGUUUAAAGGGUGCGUAGAGGGGUCGUUAAGUCAGUGGUAAAAUUUAGGGGCUCAACCUAUUCGCGCCAUUGAUACUGGCGGUCUUGAGUGGAAGAGAAGUAUGCGGAAUGCGUGGUGUAGCGGUGAAAUGCAUAGAUAUCACGCAGAACUCCGAUUGCGAAGGCAGCAUGCCGGCUUCCGACUGACGCUGAAGCACGAAAGUGUGGGGAUCGAACAGGAUUAGAUACCCUGGUAGUC
rnacentral:rRNA from 1 species